rfam:Japanese encephalitis virus strain XZ0934, complete genome
AUGACUAAAAAACCAGGAGGGCCCGGUAAAAACCGGGCUAUCAAUAUG